GCUUUUAUAGGAGAACAGCUUAUCCAUUGGUCUUAGGAACCAAAAAUUCUUGGUGCAAGUCCAAGUAAAAGCU
rnacentral:tRNA from 1 species